UACGUAGGGUGCAAGCGUUAAUCGGAAUUACUGGGCGUAAAGCGUGCGCAGGCGGUUGUGCAAGACAGAUGUGAAAUCCCCGGGCUUAACCUGGGAAUUGCAUUUGUGACUGCCCGGCUAGAAUCUGGCAGAGGGGGGUAGAAUUCCACGUGUAGCAGUGAAAUGCGUAGAGAUGUGGAGGAAUACCGAUGGCGAAGGCAGCCCCCUGGGCUAAGAUUGACGCUCAUGCACGAAAGCGUGGGGAGCAAACAGG
rnacentral:rRNA from 1 species